UAGUGAUAGUGAUAGAUAAUCAGGACAUGGGAGUUCACCCUUGGAAGGGAUUUAUGCUAUCUCUCAGGAAUGGGUCAGGUCUGAUAAAAGUGGAUUUGUUCAUAGGACAGCAGGUUGUUCUACAAGAGAGAGCCGUAUCCUGUCCAAUCUCUUGAUUCUUGGUCUUGUUAUGCCACCUCUUCUGUCAGUGCUCCCACCUUUAUGAAUCCAUCUGCCAUGAGCACCUCACUAAAGCAAGUAGAAGCCAGCACCAUGCCCUUGGCCUAUGAGCUAAAUAAGCCUCUCUUCUUUUAAAAAAGUACAUAGUCUCAGGUAUUUUAUUAUAGCAACACAGAUUCAAGCAGAGUUUUAUAGACAGAUUUCUGUGGAUAUGUACUUCUUCUCUUGACAUAGGGAAGGUGGGAGGGUUCUUUGACUCUCCCACCAAAGGCGGCACCAAGGAGGGUGUUGUGGGCCAAGGAAUGGAGGGAAGGGCACUCCCCUUAUCCCCUUCUUCUCAGGAUGGCUCCACUACUCUUUCCUUAUCCCCUUCUUCCCUGGAUGGUUCCACUACUCUUUCCUUGCCAUGAUAGGGUAGCAGCAUAUGGUAUUGGUGCCGCCCAAGUGGGCACAGCAUAAUAGAAAAGGAAUUUGGAUAAAGUGGUCCUAGAGAAAUCGAGGCUUUAUCUGAGGUGAUUCAGUGAUUCUGUAGGGUAUUUGGAGCCAGAAGCAUCAUUGUCUCCUGGCAAGGUGUUAAUAAUAACACCAGAAAUUCAGAGAAGGAGCUCCUGAUCUGUUUCCACCAGCCUCUAGAGAAUGUGUAUGCAGGUUGCAGUAUGUAAGCCAUUAUCCAUCUGGGAUAAUAGAGAUGUCUUUAGUGCAAUAUGGGCCUUUCUAAUCAUUUAAAUCUUGUUUGGGGCAGUGGUUCUCAACUGGUUUUUUUCCAGUUAGGGUCAUUUGCAGGGUCUGGUGACCUGUUUUGGUUGCCAUGAUUUCUAAGUGUGGGCAGAGGUCAGAGAUCUCCAGCCACAAAGAUGUGAAGGAUCCACAGCACUAAAUGUCAAUAACAACAAGAUCUAGAAUUAUAUGGGUAUCGGGUCCUGUAUAGAGCAAAUUAGUUCUUAUUUGCAGCAAUUUAGGACUAGAUUAGACCUUUACAUUGUUUUUGUUCACAGCAGUUGAUGCCUUAUUCUGUGGAUUAGAGCAGUAGUGCAAUUCAGUGUUUAUUUAAGGACAUUUAUUCUUAAGGGAACUUCACAAGGAGGAAAUCCAUGUCUGGUCCUAGGCCCUCUGAGAGGACUGCACAGUUUUCUUUUGCUACAGGCCCUUUCUGUAGGAUGAGGCUUCAACAGAGGUUAUUACCACCA
rnacentral:lncRNA from 1 species